UACGUAGGGGGCAAGCGUUAUCCAGAUUUACUGGGCGUAAAGCGCGUGUAGGCGGCUGGUUAGGCGUGAUGUGAAAUCUUCCGGCUCAACCGGAAAACUGCAUUGCGAACCGGCCUGGCUAGAGUGCAGGAGAGGGAAGCGGAAUUCCAGGUGUAGCGGUGAAAUGCGUAGAUAUCUGCAGGAACACCCGUGGCGAAGGCGGCUGACUGGAUCGCAACUGACACUGAGGAACGAAAGCUAGGGGAGCAAACAGG
rnacentral:rRNA from 1 species